rnacentral:lncRNA from 1 species
UGAUCCUUCUCUUUGCAGUGACUUUGUAUCUCAUCUUAAUGGAGUUAGAAUUCAACAAUUGACUGGAAGCAUAUGCCAUGAUCUUGGUUUCUCUGAAUUUGUUGUCUAACGUUUGGUCAAAAUAGCAAUUUGUCACUGUUAAAACACCUCUCAAACCUCUCAACAUUCAUAGAUUGCUGCCAUUGCAGCUGAACUUGAGCUCAA